rnacentral:rRNA from 1 species
GAAUCUUCCACAAUGGGCGAAAGCCUGAUGGAGCAACGCCGCGUGAGUGAAGAAGGUUUUCGGAUCGUAAAACUCUGUUGUAAGGGAAGAACAAGUACAGUAGUAACUGGCUGUACCUUGACGGUACCUGAUUAGAAAGCCACGGCGAACUACUGUCCAGCAGCCGCGGUACAACGGAGGUGGCAAGCGUUGUCCGGAAUUAUUGGGCGUAAAGCGCGCGCAGGCGGUCCUUUAAGUCUGAUGUGAAAGCCCACGGCUCAACCGUGGAGGGUCAUUGGAAACUGGGGGACUUGAGUGCAGAAGAGGAAAGUGGAUUUCCAAGUGUAGCGGUGAAAUGCGUAGAGAUUUGGAGGAACACCAGUGGCGAAGGCGACUUUCUGGUCUGUAACUGACGCUGAGGCGCGAAAGCGUGGGGAGCAAACAGG